AGUGAACGCUGGCGGUAGGCCUAACACAUGCAAGUCGAACGGCAGCACAGUAAGAGCUUGCUCUUACGGGUGGCGAGUGGCGGACGGGUGAGGAAUACAUCGGAAUCUACUUUUUCGUGGGGGAUAACGUAGGGAAACUUACGCUAAUACCGCAUACUACCUACGGGUGAAAGCAGGGGAUCUUCGGACCUUUCGCGAUUGAAUGAGCCGAUGUCGGAUUAGCUAGUUGGCGGGGUAAAGGCCCACCAAGGCGACGAUCCGUGGCUGGUCUGAGAGGAUGAUCAGCCACACUGGAACUGAGACACGGUCCAGACUCCUACGGGAGGCAGCAGUGGGGAAUAUUGGACAAUGGGCGCAAGCCUGAUCCAGCCAUACCGCGUGGGUGAAGAAGGCCUUCGGGUUGUAAAGCCCUUUUGUUGGGAAAGAAAAGCAGCAGGUUAAUACCCCGCUGUUCUGACGGUACCCAAAGAAUAAGCACCGGCUAACUUCGUG
rnacentral:rRNA from 1 species